rnacentral:rRNA from 1 species
UGCUCUGGUGGCGAGUGGCGAACGGGUGAGUAAUAUAUCGGAACGUACCCUAGAGUGGGGGAUAACGUAGCGAAAGUUACGCUAAUACCGCAUACGAUCUAAGGAUGAAAGUGGGGGAUCGCAAGACCUCAUGCUCGUGGAGCGGCCGAUAUCUGAUUAGCUAGUUGGUAGGGUAAAAGCCUACCAAGGCAUCGAUCAGUAGCUGGUCUGAGAGGACGACCAGCCACACUGGAACUGAGACACGGUCCAGACUCCUACGGGAGGCAGCAGUGGGGAAUUUUGGACAAUGGGCGAAAGCCUGAUCCAGCAAUGCCGCGUGAGUGAAGAAGGCCUUCGGGUUGUAAAGCUCUUUUGUCAGGGAAGAAACGGUGAGAGCUAAUAUCUUUUGCUAAUGACGGUACCUGAAGAAUAAGCACCGGCUAACUACGUGCCAGCAGCCGCGGUAAUACGUAGGGUGCAAGCGUUAAUCGGAAUUACUGGGCGUAAAGCGUGCGCAGGCGGUUUUGUAAGUCUGAUGUGAAAUCCCCGGGCUCAACCUGGGAAUUGCAUUGGAGACUGCAAGGCUAGAAUCUGGCAGAGGGGGGUAGAAUUCCACGUGUAGCAGUGAAAUGCGUAGAUAUGUGGAGGAACACCGAUGGCGAAGGCAGCCCCCUGGGUCAAGAUUGACGCUCAUGCACGAAAGCGUGGGGAGCAAACAGGAUUAGAUACCCUGGUAGUCCACGCCCUAAACGAUGUCUACUAGUUGUCGGGUCUUAAUUGACUUGGUAACGCAGCUAACGCGUGAAGUAGACCGCCUGGGGAGUAC